rnacentral:rRNA from 1 species
AAUAAGCUAAAUAAGAGCGUAUGGGGAAUGCCUAGGCUCUCAGAGGCGAUGAAGGACGUGAUAAGCUGCGAAAAGCUGCGGGGAUUGGCACAUACAAAUUGAUCCGUAGAUAUCCGAAUGGGGCAACCCACUAUAUUGAAGAUAUAGUAUGUCGUAAGACAAGCAAACCCAGAGAACUGAAACAUCUAAGUACCUGGAGGAGAAGAAAACAAAAGUGAUUCCGUUAGUAGUGGCGAGCGAACGCGGAUUAGCCCAAACCAGUAUUGUUACGGCAAUAUUGGGGUUGUAGGACCAAGACAUUUAAUGUUUAAUGAAUUAGAAUACUUUGGAAAAAGUAACCAUAGAGGGUGAUAGUCCCGUAUAGGUAAGUUGAA